UCCAACUCUUGAGAGGAUAAAAGAUGCCA
rnacentral:piRNA from 1 species